rfam:Hordeum vulgare subsp. vulgare, WGS project CAJW01000000 data, contig: morex_contig_249226
GAUGUACUCCCACCGUCCCGAAAUUCUUGUCUUAAGUUUGUCUAGAAAUGGAUGUAUCUAAAUACUAAAAUAUGACUAGAUACAUUCAUAUCUAAAGAAAUCUAAGACAAGAAUUUUGAGACGGAAGGAGUAGAUA